rnacentral:rRNA from 1 species
AUUGAACGCUGGCGGCAUGCUUUACACAUGCAAGUCGAACGGCAGCGCGGGCUUCGGCCUGGCGGCGAGUGGCGAACGGGUGAGUAAUGCAUCGGAACGUGCCCAGCAGUGGGGGAUAGCCCGGCGAAAGCCGGAUUAAUACCGCAUACGAGCUGAGGGUGAAAGCGGGGGAGCGAAAGACCUCGCGCUCUUGGGGCGGCCGAUGUCGGAUUAGCUAGUUGGUGGGGUAAAGGCUUACCAAGGCGACGAUCCGUAGCUGGUCUGAGAGGACGACCAGCCACACUGGGACUGAGACACGGUCCAGACUCCUACGGGAGGCAGCAGUGGGGAAUUUUGGACAAUGGGGGCAACCCUGAUCCAGCCAUGCCGCGUGCGGGAAGAAGGCCUUCGGGUUGUAAAGCGCUUUUGUCCGGGAAGAAAUCCUCUGGGCUAAUACCCCGGGGGGAUGACGGUACCGGAAGAAUAAGCACCGGCUAACUACGUG